rnacentral:tRNA from 2 species
GGGGCGGUAGCUCAGUCGGUUAGAGCCCCGGACUCAUGAUCCGGCGGGAGAGCCUCAGUCGAGUCCGCGGGCGAUGAGCGCCUCG